AUGUACUAAAAUUUUUACUAAAAUUGGAAUGAUGCAGAGAAGAUUAAGCAUGGCCUCUGCGCAAAGGAUGACACGAAAAAUUUGUGAAGCGUUGUUUUUUUUU